rnacentral:lncRNA from 1 species
AUUUGGUCGCUUUCCUCAUUUGAUCUUGGUCUUGUUUUCUUGAGCUCUCCUGCCACUGGAUGACACAGCAAGGAGGCCUUUACCAGAUCCCAGCACUUUCGUCUUGGAUUUCCCAGCCCCUAGAACGGGACCACACUUCACAAAAGGGAGCAAGAAGGCAGAUAACGGCAAAGAAAAAUGUUUGUAGUUUACUGUGGAGGACCAAGUGAGUUUAUACAGAUGUUUACCUCCUUUGGGAUUAUUUGCUGCUGGCUAGAAUGAAAAGACAAACAUUCCCUUCAAACAGUAUGCCAUUGCCUAAUAAUUUUGCAAGCUCAAAUGAAAUCCAACCAAAUUCAGAAUUUAGAUUUUCCUACUGGCUUGUGUAAUUUUUGUUUGUAUGGGAUAGAAUCAGGUUCCAUCUUUUAUUCUCCUUCAGAAUAUCAUUAACAAAGAAAACUUUGAAUGUUAGUUGGUGGGAUAGAUACAUUGACACUGUUUACAUAGCACUGUUUCCUACUCGGGCCUGCACACAAACAUUCGCACACAUUUUCAUGUACACACACUCCUGGGGAGGUCAAUGAAUAUUACAAUUCUUCUUCUGGAAAUAAUCCUUAAGAAUGAAUGAGCAAAAGACACAGUUUUCAACCCUAUUUUCUCUUCUCUUUCUCUCUUUUUCUUCCCUCUGUUCUUUCUCUCUCUCUCUUUUUUCCUUCUUUUUAUUUUUUUCUUCCUGGAGAGGUUUCUGAAGUUCAACAGUGAUUCUUUAAUUAAGAGAAAAAAAAAACCACACAUACACACACUAGAGAACAAGAAGGAAUAGUAAACAGUUCCCUCCACUGCUAGAGGGGUUAGUUACAAAAUAAACAUUUCACAGACUGGACCACAUCUCCUGUAAUGAGACAGCUCUGGCUAGUGAGACUGCAGCUAAAGUCCCCCCAUUAAGGGCAUUCACUCGAAAAAUUAAGCGACCCACUUGUGUUGACUGAAAACAUCCUUGCAGAGGGUUUUUGCAAUCACCUACAGCAUUUUUUGACAAUCUGCCUUGUGCUUAACACUGCCUUUCCUGAAGGCUCUCUCUGCUGUGUUUUGUUUUAAUGGUUCAGCCUCCUCACUGGUGAUUCAAGGUCUAAGCUCUUUCUGUUAAGCCUCUGUAUAAAAUAAAACUCCUUAAGUCAGAGAAAAGGAGAGGUGAGAAGGGCAUUCAGUUUGAUUUUUUAGAAGGACAUACAGAGGCAGGAAAUUAGUAUUACAUUUUUUCCUUCUCCAAACCAAAACAUACUGACCAAAGAAGAUUGUUCACAUUUGCAAAAUUUGCUUUGAGCUCCUCGAAGGAAAGAUGCUAUAUAAAAUCUAAAAAUAAGCCAUGAAAAAAAAUGCCUUAGAAUAAAAAAAAAAAGAGCAUUCUAGCAAUAACCUCAGAAAUGUCAGCAUCAGUCCAAGAAAUGCAGCAGGAAGUCACACUAGGAUAUUAUUUACAAUCCGGUGGCAUGUCACAUAUCAAAAUAUAUCAUGAUCUAUCAAAAUUAGGUCACUGUCUCUAAAGCACUAAAUACAUACAAACUAUUAAUGAACAUGACAUUAUAUUCCUGUUUAAGCAAUGAGAAGAUGGAAGUAAAGAAUUAACCCGGACAAAGUCAUUGGAAAAACAACUGAAUUUUAGCUCAGUAUUUUCAAACAAGAAAAACUCAACAGGGGUCAUACUUCAUAACAUUACAGAUGAAAUGAGACAAAAGGUCUAAACCACCCAUUUAUUUGUCUUUCAAGCUACAAUUAAGAGCUACUAAUUUAUGAAGGUGUUUGUUCACUUGUCAACCAACACAGCACUGCAUACUGAAAUGUGUAAUUCACUUCCAAGUCUCUUCUAUCAUCUAGAGUUAUUUCUUUGACCCACUCACAAAAGGCAUUUUUCUAACAUAUUAAAUAAUUGAUUUCUGCUCUCUAUUGUAUCCAUUGUAUCAGAAUUAAAGAAAAAUACAGACAAAUACAUUUGUUUCUACAAAAGGUAAAAACAUAUACAUGUAAGAAUAAAUUGUUAGCUAAACACUUCGGGGAGUACCUUGGAAAGCCGGAGACAUAGAUCACCUUAAUUUACUCCAGGCACGGCUAGGUCUUCACUGUUACUCGUUGACGUCUACUCACCUUUGCUUCUUUACUCUUUUCAGCUUUAAUAGCUCCCUUCUUCAUCUCAACUAUUCAAACCCAAUCCAGAUUUCACAACCCU